rnacentral:rRNA from 1 species
AACGAACGCUGGCGGCAUGCCUAACACAUGCAAGUCGAACGAGACCUUCGGGUCUAGUGGCGCACGGGUGCGUAACGCGUGGGAACCUGCCCUUAGGUUCGGAAUAACUCCCUGAAAGGGGUGCUAAUACCGGAUAAUGUCUUCGGACCAAAGAUUUAUCGCCUUUGGAUGGGCCCGCGUUGGAUUAGCUAGUUGGUAGGGUAAAAGCCUACCAAGGCGACGAUCCAUAGCUGGUCUGAGAGGAUGAUCAGCCACACUGGGACUGAGACACGGCCCAGACUCCUACGGGAGGGAGCAGUGGGGAAUAUUGGACAAUGGGCGAAGGCCUGAUCCAGCAAUGCCGGGUAAGUGAUGAAGGCCUUAGGGUUGUAAAGCUCUUUUACCCGGGGUGAUAAUGACGGUACCGGGAGAAUAAGCUCCGGCUAACUCCGUG